rnacentral:rRNA from 1 species
UACGUAGGAAGCAAGCGUUGUCCGGAAUAACUGGGCGUAAAGGGUGCGUAGGCGGUUUUUUAAGUCUGAUGUGAAAUCCUGUGGCUCAACCACAGAACUGCAUCAGAUACUGGGAGGCUAGAGUGCGGAAGAGGUUGACGGAAUUACUAGUGUAGCGGUAGAAUGCGUAGAUAUUAGUAAGAAGACCGGUGGCGAAGGCGGUCAACUGGGACGUAACUGACGCUGAGGCACGAAAGCGUGGGGAGCAAACAGG